CACCCCUUCCAUCUUUAGCCCAUCAGCUGUGCCUGGACCAGGUCUCCUGCGGCUGAGUUCAGAGAGGGAGCAGGGCUGAGCGGAGGCGGCAGAGGGAGGGGCAGAGAAAAUGGUCCGUAGCCACAACGCCAAUCAGCCUCACCAUUAGGGCCUGUGGCAUGAGACCCAGGGCAGUAAGAACGCAUUGCCUGACGCGUAGUAGGUGCUCAGUGAAUACGUGAAAGGACAAACAGAUGUUAACAAGAGGAGCCUCCCGACAGACGGUGCAGGAAAUUGCUCUCGUGGCUCAGGCGGGACCCCCUGCCUCGGGGCCCUGAGACGAGGUUGGGGAGCCCACGGCUGAGGGCACGAGCUGCCUGGGAGCCCCUUUCACGCUCCUGGCGUCCAGAGCGUCGGGGCACCCGGGGAGUGGCCGCAGCCGCUCGCUGACCUUGGCAUAGAUUCCCAGGCAGGCAUCCGGUCACAACCCACACCCUUCCCCCCUCUCCUUGUCAUCGGACGCAGCGCCAGGAGAGUGAGUAGCACCAAGUUCUGCCACUGAGCUGCUUACUGUCCGUGCGCCAGGAGAAUCACAGUCAGAGAGACUCAUCACUACCGCCUGAGAGGGACCUGCUGGGGCAGAGGUAGGAAAGCAAGGGUUGGGGCCAUUAGUUCUCCCACCGCAGCAAGAGAGGGCAGUG
rnacentral:lncRNA from 1 species